rnacentral:rRNA from 1 species
GACAGAGGGUGCAAACGUUGUUCGGAAUUAUUGGGCGUAAAGCGCUUGUAGGCGGCACGUCAAGUCGCGUGUGAAAUCCCCAGGCUUAACCUGGGAAGUGCGCGCGAAACUGACGAGCUUGAGUGCCGGAGAGGGUCGCGGAAUUCCCGGUGUAGAGGUGAAAUUCGUAGAUAUCGGGAGGAACACCAGUGGCGAAGGCGGCGACCUGGACGGACACUGACGCUGAGACGCGAAAGCGUGGGGAGCAAACAGG